rnacentral:rRNA from 1 species
GAUCCUGGCUCAGGAUGAACGCUAGCUACAGGCUUAACACAUGCAAGUCGAGGGGCAGCAUGGUCUUAGCUUGCUAAGACUGAUGGCGACUGGCGCACGGGUGAGUAACACGUAUCCAACCUGCCGUCUACUCUUGGACAGCCUUCUGAAAGGAAGAUUAAUACAAGAUGGCAUCAUGAGUCCGCAUGUUCACAUGAUUAAAGGUAUUCCCGGGUAGACGAG